rnacentral:rRNA from 1 species
AACGAACGCUGGCGGCGCGCUUAACACAUGCAAGUCGAACGAGGAGGCGUAGCAAUACGCUUGUACAGUGGCGAACGGGUGAGUAAUACGUGGGCGACCUACCCUCGAGUGGGGAAUAACCCGCCGAAAGGCGGGCUAAUGCCGCGUACGCUUCCAUCUUUAUGGAGGUGGAAGGAAAGCCGUGCCGUGGGCACGGCGCUCAAGGGAUGGGCUCACGUCCUAUCAGCUUGUUGGUAGGGAACGGCCUACCAAGGCUCCGACGGGUAGCUGGUCUGAGAGGACGAUCAGCCACACUGGCACUGCGACACGGGCCAGACUCCUACGGGAGGCAGCAGUGAGGAAUAUUGCGCAAUGGGCGAAAGCCUGACGCGGCGACGCCGCGU